rfam:Dipodomys ordii contig_28844, whole genome shotgun sequence.
GGUGGUUCAGUGGUAGAGUGCUUGCCUUGCAUGCAUGAGGCCCUAGGUUCAAUUCCUCAGCACCA